UACAGAGGUCUCAAGCGUUGUUCGGAUUCAUUGGGCGUAAAGGGUGCGUAGGCGGCGCGGUAAGUCGGGUGUGAAAUCUCGGAGCUUAACUCCGAAACUGCAUUCGAUACUGCCGUGCUUGAGGACUGGAGAGGAGACUGGAAUUUACGGUGUAGUGGUGAAAUGCGUAGAUAAUCGUAAGGAAGACCAGUGGCGAAGGCGGGUCUCUGGACAGUUCCUGACGCUGAGGCACGAAGGUCAGGGGAGCAAACGGGAUUAGAGUACC
rnacentral:rRNA from 1 species